rnacentral:lncRNA from 1 species
GUUUCUGUAAAUAAAUUCCUCCUGACUAACCAGCUGUUUGAGACUUUGGUGUCUAUAAAUAGAUGUCCUUUGGAUGGAUGUUUGGAUGUCCUGCAGGUGUCUACCAUGGAGUUCCUUUCUACACCAAGAUGUUUUCUUUUCUUGUAUGUUUGCAGUGUUGUCUAUUGGAUUUGGAGUGUCGUUCUGUAGACUUAAUGGUGUGAUAUUUCUAUCUGCCAAGACUAUAAUCAGUGCCGAUCCUAGAUUGUUGGCUGCCCACGUGCAAAUUAAAAUUGAUUGCCCUUUUUACAAACCUUCCUACAUUGGUUGAUAAUCAUUUUGUCUUAAAUUUGGCCACCAU